CCUACGGGCGGCAGCAGUGGGGGAUAUUGCACAAUGGGGGAAACCCUGAUGCAGCGACGCCGCGUGGGUGAAGAAGCGCCUCGGCGCGUAAAGCCCUGUCAGCAGGGAAGUAAAUGACGGUACCUGAAGAAGAAGCCCCGGCUAACUACGUGCCAGCAGCCGCGGUAAUACGUAGGGGGCAAGCGUUAUCCGGAUUUACUGGGUGUAAAGGGGGCGCAGACGGCGAUGCAAGCCAGGCGUGAAAGCCCGGGGCCCAACCCCGGGACUGCAUUGGAAACUGUAUGGCUGGAGUGCAGGAGGGGUCAGUGGAAUUCCUAGUGUAGCGGUGAAAUGCGUAGAUAUUAGGAGGAACACCAGUGGCGAAGGCGGGUGACUGGGCUGUAACUGACGUUGAGGCUCGAAAGCGUGGGGAGCAAACAGGAUUAGAUACCCCUGUAGUC
rnacentral:rRNA from 1 species